rnacentral:rRNA from 1 species
UGCGUAGGCGGGUUAUUAAGUCAGUGGUGAAAUCCUGCGGCUCAACCGUAGAACUGCCAUUGAUACUGAUAAUCUUGAAUGCAGUUGAGGUAGGCGGAAUGUGUAAUGUAGCGGUGAAAUGCUUAGAUAUUACACAGAACACCGAUUGCGAAGGCAGCUUGCUAAACUGUGAUUGACGCUGAUGCACGAAAGCGUGGGAGCGAACA